GUAAAAAUUUGCAUGGUAUGAUUUUUAAAAACUUGAAUUUUUAACUUAAUGUACUAUAUUCUGUAGUAAUCUCAUUUUCAUGUUACCAAAGGAAACCUGUUAUGACCAGAAUAAAUUAUUUUCCCAACAUUGAACUAAGAAUUCCUAGAGCUGGGGAAAUAAAGGAAUGUCCUUUGCUGCCAGCCUCCUUCCUUCCUCCUUAGGAUACCUCUUUAAAAUUAAUUAUUAGUUUGGUUUUCCCGUUUAAUGGAGAAAUUAUUUAGGAUGUUUUCUAAAAUGUCCAAGUGGCUAGCUAUAACUUGCUGUUUAUUCUUUGAUUGACAGUGACUAAUGUCAUUUCACAGUGGCCAGGAAAUGUGGGCUGUAUGAUCUCCACUUUGAGAGGAUUUUGAGCCAAUGCCUGGUCAUUUAUGUGGCUGGCCUCUGGAUAUCUGAAAGUAAUAUGAAUCCUUCAUUUGCUGGUUUCAAAGUACUAUCUACCUAUCUUCCUGUCUAUCACAUAAAUGUUUCCAGUGAUGCCAUCAAUAGUUACAGAAAUUGAUUGAUUUUUAUAUAUCUGACCUAUUGAUUUCUA
rnacentral:lncRNA from 1 species